GAUGAACGCUGGCGGCGUGCCUAAUACAUGCAAGUCGAGCGAACAGAUGAGGAGCUUGCUCCUCUGACGUUAGCGGCGGACGGGUGAGUAACACGUGGAUAACCUACCUAUAAGACUGGGAUAACUUCGGGAAACCGGAGCUAAUACCGGAUAAUAUAUUGAACCACAUGGUUCAAUAGUGAAAGACGGUUUUGCUGUCACUUAUAGAUGGAUCCGCGCCGCAUUAGCUAGUUGGUAAGGUAACGGCUUACCAAGGCAACGAUGCGUAGCCGACCUGAGAGGGUGAUCGGCCACACUGGAACUGAGACACGGUCCAGACUCCUACGGGAGGCAGCAGUAGGGAAUCUUCCGCAAUGGGCGAAAGCCUGACGGAGCAACGCCGCGUGAGUGAUGAAGGUCUUCGGAUCGUAAAACUCUGUUAUUAGGGAAGAACAAAUGUGUAAGUAACUAGGCACGUCUUGACGGUACCUAAUCAGAAAGCCACGGCUAACUACGUG
rnacentral:rRNA from 1 species